rnacentral:rRNA from 1 species
GACGAACGCUGGCGGCGUGCUUAACACAUGCAAGUCGAACGGAAAGGCCCUGCUUUUGUGGGGUGCUCGAGUGGCGAACGGGUGAGUAACACGUGAGUAACCUGCCCUUGACUUUGGGAUAACUUCAGGAAACUGGGGCGAAUACCGGAUAGGAGCUCCUGCUGCAUGGGGGGGGUUGGAAAGUUUCGGCGGUUGGGGAUGGACUCGCGGCUUAUCAGCUUGUUUGGGGGGUAGGGGCUGACCAAGGCUUUGACGGGUAGCCGGCCUGAGAGGGUGACCGGCCACAUUGGGCCUGCGAUACGGCCCAGACUCCUACGGGAGGCAGCAGUGGGGAAUAUUGCACAAUGGGCGGAAGCCUGAUGCAGCAACGCCGCGUGCGGGAUGCCGGCCUUCGGGUUGUAAACCGCUUUCGCCUGUGACGAAGCGUUAUUGACGGUAAUGGGUAAAGAAGCCCCGGCUAACUACGUG